AGUGAACGCUGGCGGUAUGCCUAACACAUGCAAGUCGAACGGCAGCACAGUAAGAUCUUGCUCUUACUGUUGGCGAGUGGCGGACGGGUGAGGAAUACAUCGGAAUCUACUUUUUCGUGGGUGAUAACGUAGGGAAACUUACGCUAAUACCUCAUACUACCUACGGGUUAAAGCAGGGGAUCUUCGGACCUUUCGCGAUUGAAUGAGCCGAUGUCGGAUUAGCUAGUUGGCUGGGUAAAGGCCCACCAAGGCGACGAUCCGUAGCUGGUCUGAGAGGAUGAUCAGCCACACUGGAACUGAGACACGGUCCAGACUCCUACGGGAGGCAGCAGUGGGGAAUAUUGGACAAUGGGCGAAAGCCUGAUCCAGCAACACCGCGUGAGUGAAGAAGGCCUUCGGGUUGUAAAGCCCUUUUGUUGGGAAAGAAAAGAAGUAGGUGAAUCCGCCGAUGUUCUGACGGUACCCAAAGAAUAAGCACCGGCUAACUUCGUG
rnacentral:rRNA from 1 species